CCUACGGGUGGCAGCAGUGAGGAAUAUUGGUCAAUGGACGCAAGCCUGAACCAGCCAUGCCGCGUGAAGGAUGACGGCCCUAUGAGUUGUAAACUGCUUUUGUACGAGGGUAAACGCAGAUACGCGUACCUGUCUGUACGUAUUUUACGAAUAAGGAUCGGCUAACUCCGUGCCAGCAGCCGCGGUAAUACGGAGGAUUCAAGCGUUAUCCGGAUUUAUUGGGUUUAAAGGGUGCGUAGACGGUCGGAUAAGUUAGAGGUGAAAGCUCGAGGCUCAACUUCGGAAUUGCCAAUGAUACUGGUCGGCUAGAGAACAGUUGCGGUAGGCGGAAUGCAUGGUGUAGCGGUGAAAUGCUUAGAGAUCAUGCAGAACACCGAUUGCGAAGGCAGCUUACUAAGCUGCCUCUGACGUUGAGGCACGAAAGCGUGGGGAGCAAACAGGAUUAGAUACCCCAGUAGUC
rnacentral:rRNA from 1 species